rnacentral:lncRNA from 1 species
UGCCUGUAAGCUCUAUUGGGUAGUAUAGUGCAGCUUUGUGAACACCAGAUCUGGCAGAUUUAAGCUGAGGCCUGUAAGUUCAUUUGCCAUUUUCUUCCACCACAAGUGGCCCCUGCUGGGCUGAUCUGUUCUUCCACUUGUUCCUCUGGCACCUGCCCAUGUGGAGGGGAUUCUUCAAUAGGGCACAUCUGUUGUAGCCUCACAGAUUCUUCUGCUGUUGGAGAGCCCUGUGUGUGGAAGAGUCCCUUUGUGUGAAAAUCAUCCAGCCUCAACCACACAGUUCAGCAAUUUUGCUGAAAGGAACAGUCUUGGCUGCACUUGGUAGGAGCCUCUCUUCUGUCUGGCACAGGUUCACCUUGUCAGUAUAGCUACAGUGGCUAGACCAUGAGCUCUGGAGUUGGACAGCCUAGAUCAACAUCCUGGAUCCUCUUCCUACCUGUGUGUCCUUGGAAACAUUUCUCAAGUGUCUACAUGUUCUAGAAGGGGAAUUUUUCGGAGGUGGCCACUUCUUCGGAAUAGUCCGAUGCCAUCAGGCGUCUGAAGCAAGGGGAAGGGGAAAAGAAAAAAGCUGAAACACAAGGUUCAUCUGGUUCAGCACUCCUGUUGAAUUCUACUGGAUUCUGGAAAGAUAUUUGGACUCAUUAUCAUAACAGAACAAUGAUAAUAAUACUUGAGUCUGAAUUUCAAUUUUGCUCUUCUUUAUGGAUGUGAUUUUUGGUAAGUUAUUUUGUUCAUUUCAGUUACUUCCUCUAUAAAACGAGAAUAGUGAUAUUCUCAUUCCUGG